GGCGUCCGGGCCCCCCCCGGCGGCGCAGACAAUGGCGGCUUUGUUGGCGCAGCGGCUGGCGGGGGCCCAGCGCAUUCCUGGCCCCUGGCCCGGCCCCGCGGCCCCCCCCGCCCGGACGCCUGGGUCCCCCUGGGCGGCGGGGGUGGAGUGUGCCCGGACGCCUGGGUCCCGCAUGGGGCACCCAGACAGCGGGGUCCCCCCCUGGGCCACGGGUGCCACCGAGGUCCCCAAGGACAUUCACCCUGAACGACCCCGUGGGAACAAGGGGCCCUUCAGCGUGGGGACCCAGGCGUCCGGGGCCGCCCCUCCUCCCCGGGGUGCGACGGGGACCUCAGCGUCCGGGCUGGACCCAGGCGUCCGGGGGGGACCCAGGCGUCCGGACCUGACCCCGUGUCCCCCACAGACUCUGGACAAUCCGACAGCUCAAACCCCCAGGGCGACGCCGACAUCAAACCACUGCCCAACGGGCAUCUGACCUUCCAGGACUGUUUCGUGACAUCGGGCGUCUGGAACGUGACGGAGCUGGUGAGGGUGUCCCAGACCCCGGUGGCCACGGCCUCGGGCCCAAACUUCUCGCUGGCCGAUCUGGAGACCCCGGGCGGCUUCUACAACAUCAGCCCCGUGGCGCUGGGACGGGCGGCCGCUGGGACCCCCCCCCGACCGGGGUACGGACCCCCGAAGCCCCGGCCCCGGGUCCCUGG